rfam:Triticum aestivum genome assembly, contig: Triticum_aestivum_CS42_TGACv1_scaffold_485174_6AS
AACAUACUCCCUUCGUUCGGAAUUACUUGUCUUGGAAAUGGUGUAUCUAGAACUAAAAUACGUCUAGAUACAUCCAUUUCUGUGACAAGUAAUUCCGAACGAAGGGAGUAUAUA